GGAAGGGGAUUGAAACAGAAUUCUCAGAGAACUUAAGAGAAACAGUGAGAUCAGGUGAGAAAAGAAUAGUAACAAGAUGAGAAGAGAAAAGAGCAUAGAGAUGAGAGAAAUUAUUAUUGAAUAGCAUUCUUUGAAUGAGUUGAUAUAGGUAUGACUUCUUCCUUUUAUACACAGCAGUAACUGCUUCCUAACAACUCCUUAACAAUCUCCAGACAACCAGAACUACCUCUAACUACUUGAGGCCUUUCCCUCCAAAAGUUGUUACAGGAGUUUCCCUCCAAUUCUAACCACCCGACCACUGCCACUAUCUAUUCUUUUUCCUUCUUCUAUAAUAAGUAACAAAGCAUUGUUGGGAACUGAAUUAGGUCUCCACUAGUCUUGUUUGAUGUUCCUUGUUUAGGAAAUUUGCAGGAUUUUGACUUUCUAGAAGACGGGUUUUUUUGCACUUUUAGAUUCUAUGGAAAGUUCUAGAUUUCCAUAGGAGUCUUCUUUAAACCUUGUUUGUUAAGGAUUACAUUUUAGAUUACUUAAAAGUUAACGUUAACUUUGGAGUCCAAAUCCUUGGAGGAUAAAGAUUAACUUUUUUAUUCUGUAAAUAAUUAUGUAUGUUGUUUGAUAGUUUUUUUAUCAAAGAGAAUUCCUGAAGUUUUGCAUCAUGAGUUGUGUGAUAUAAUCCUACUCUUGGGUGUGAUGCCUAAGGAUGUUUAGGUGUGAAGCCUACGCUAUUCUAUUGCUCACUUUGCCUAAUUUGGUUCUGCAAACAACCCCUCGAACCCUGCUUCUCGCACUAUUUUACUUUCCAAACCUACACCUUCUAAACCUGAACUUUCCAACUAAAUUCCUGCCCCCUUUAGAGUUCAACAAAACCUCAAAUUUCCACCUUAACUCUUAGAACUGCAUGCUGUCCUGCUUCAAUUUGGUAUCAGAGCUUCAAGAUCCUUUAAAUAUAUUCCUAACGCUGAAUUAAAUUCAAACUUUGAUUCUUUUCAAAAAUAAUUCAACUCCUUUCGUCAAGAACAUGAAGAAACAAAGGUGAGACUGAGCUCAUCCCAAGGUGGAUGAGUUGCUUAGGAUGAUGUCUUCUGGUACUUGCAGUAAGCAAACAACUUCAGCACCCAAUAGUCAAGCUCUCCCUCAAACAACAAACACGAGGGCUAAACAAAAUCUUGAAGUGGCACUUGUGCCUAAUGAAGAACAAGACACAGCCAGAGAUAUUACCAAGAAAGUCAAAGUGGAAGCUCCAAAUUUUAAAGGUAGGGUUCAUCCAGCAUUGUUUUGUGAUUGUCUUCAUUCUAUUGAAUCUUAUUUUGAUUUUUAUACCAUGGGAGCAGAUUGUAGAAGAUGAAGCUCAUUGGGCUAGCUAAAAUAUGGUAGUAAGGUGUUGAGCAAGGCAUGGUAAGAUUGAGGCAACUACCAAUUAAUACAUGGCAAGCGAUGAAAGCUAAACUACAAGAAAAAUAUAUGCCAUAUACUUCUUGGAAAAAAUGCUGAGAGGUUUAUACUUUGAAACAGGGCAGCAUGUUUGUGGCUGAAUACAUGCACCAGUUUGAUUAAUUGACGAUCAAAAGUGAAGUUGUGGAAGAUGUUCAAAGGUAUUAGCCAGAUUCAAGGCUGGUUUAAGAGCUGGUAUUAAGAAAGAAAUGUUCAGAAAACCCAUCUAUAGUGGCAAACAUGCAUUUCAAAUGGCCCUUGGCAUGGAGGCAUUUGAACCAACCAUCAAAAAAAUUGGGGUUCCAAUUCCAUCUAGAAAGAUAGCUUCAACAACGAAUUUGGAUGCAACUCGUAGCUCCAAGGAGUUUCAGCAUCAUUUUUGCAGAUUUAAUGGCUAGACAACAUGCUGAUUACCCUACCUUUUCUUUGCAUGAUGGGUAUCUCUUCAAGGGAACUUGCUUAUGUUUGCCUAAUACUUCCCUACAUGAAGAGGUGAUUCAAGACUUGCAUUCUGGAGCGUCAGCAGGUCAUUUUAGAGGGACAAGAACAUUGCUGUGGUGGAGGAUCGAUUUUAUAGGCCAAGCUUGAAGAUAAAUGUUGUUGGGGUUAUUGCUUGUUGCCGAACUCGUAAAAUGUAUGGCCAAGCUUAAAGAUAUAUGUUGUUGGGGUUAGUGCUUGUUGCCGAACUUGUCAAAUGUACAAGGGCAACAAGAAAAAAUACAGGGUUAUAUAUACCACUAGCUCCACAUUCGACUUGGAAAGAUUUGAGUAUGGAUUUUGUGCUUGGAUUGCCAAAGACUACGAGAGGUCAUAAUUCUAUUUUUCUGGUAAUUGAUUGAUUCUCAAAGAUGGCUCAUUUUAUUCCUUAUUCUAAAACAGCAGGUGCUCUCCAUGUAACUAAACUUUUUUUUAAUGAAGUUGUUAAUUCAUGGUCUACGCCUAACAAUUGUUUCAGAUUGUGACUUGAAAGUUUAUGAGCAAUUUCUAGCGGUCUUUGUGGAGAAUGCUGAACACAAAGUUGAAAUUUUCUUCAUCCUUUCACACAAAAACAGAUGGACAAAUUGAGGUUUUUAAUCGAAGUUUGGGUGACGUUCUGUGUUGUUGUGUUGGUGAUCAUGUUGGUAGUUGGGAUCAGAUUCUUCCUAUGGCCGAAUUUGCCAACAAUAGUUUUGUCAAUCAUGGCACUGAACACAGCACUUCUGAGAUGGUUACGGGCAAACGUCCUAAGAAACCCAUUGAUUUGAUUCCAUUACCCAUUGAUGCUCGUCCAAGUGUUGAUGCAGACACUUUUGGCAAGCAUAUGUGUGACAUAAAUGAUGAAAUUCGAAUAAGAAUUGGCUCCAGUAAUGCAGGUUACAAGGUGACUGCAGACCUUAGGUGCAAAUCUGUUAAAUAUCAAGGUGACAUCGUUAUGGUCCAUGUAAAGCCUAAACGAUUUUUGAUAGGUGCUAAUAAGAAGCUUCAUUCAAGGAAUACUGGUCCUUACGAGAUUUUGUAGAGAAUUAGUUCAAAUAGCUAUGCUCUUGACUUGUUUGAUGACAUAGGAAUAAGCAAUAUCUUCAAUAUUGAAUAUCUUUCUAUCGUGGAUAUGAUGGAGAUACACACAGUGAUGAAGUUACUACUAGACUCCUAUUAGCACCACGUCGGAAAGAGGAGGUUGAAGAUAUUGUAGACAAUCAAGUGGUUUCUAGUAGAGGCAGUGGCUACCAAAAAUUCCCAAUCAAAUGGGUAAGUCGUCCACAAUCAGAUUGUACUUGGAUCACUGGAGGAACUUCAACAGCUUGAUCCCGAUCACUAUGACAGAUUCCAUGCUUUUAACUCGACAGGGUUGAGCCUUUCCAAGCCGAAGAAAUGAUGGAGUACGAUGGCAACAUAUGUACAAAAGGUGUUCCAAAGCUAAUUUUAGUGCCCAAGCACUUGUUUGGCCCUUUGAUGACAAGGAGCAUUGUUGGGAAC
rnacentral:misc_RNA from 1 species